rnacentral:misc_RNA from 1 species
GGAAACCGUCCAUGGCCCAUUCUUGGCAGCUCUUCUGGUAGGUGGGGUUUAUGGGUCUUUGGGGCUGACUAUAGUGAUAUGGCUGUGGAACAUAUUUUCCUCAACCACAUCUAAGGACCACUUGGGUCAAUCUCAACUAACCAGUCACCGACACCGAAUAAUUAUUGAGUACCCCUAAUGCCACAAUAGGGAGUUGAUUUAGAUAUUAACGAAAAUGAAUCGUCUUUCAGUAAGGCUACGUCAUUUCUUAAGAGAAA